GACGAACGCUGGCGGCGUGCUUAACACAUGCAAGUCGAACGGAAAGGCCCUGCUUUUGUGGGGUGCUCGAGUGGCGAACGGGUGAGUAACACGUGAGUAACCUGCCCUUGACUUUGGGAUAACUUCAGGAAACUGGGGCUAAUACCGGAUAGGAGCUCCUGCUGCAUGGUGGGGGUUGGAAAGUUUCGGCGGUUGGGGAUGGACUCGCGGCUUAUCAGCUUGUUGGUGGGGUAGUGGCUUACCAAGGCUUUGACGGGUAGCCGGCCUGAGAGGGUGACCGGCCAGAUUGGGACUGAAAUACGGCCCAGACUCCUACGGGAGGCAGAAGUGGGGAAUAUUGCACAAUGGGCGGAAGCCUGAUGCAGCAACGCCGCGUGCGGGAUGACGGCCUUCGGGUUGUAAACCGCUUUCGCCUGUGACGAAGCGUGAGUGACGGUAAUGGGUAAAGAAGCACCGGCUAACUACGUG
rnacentral:rRNA from 1 species